CGAUCCAUGGUAUGUAGAGGAGUAGCUUUAUGAUCAAGGGGGGGAAAGAAACCUGUCGAGCUUGCUCACGGGCUUUCUAUCAUAUCCAUAACACCUGUGCACUUGUUGGAUGAUCUAAAGACAUAGGGUAAAACCUAAAGUCAAUAGUCAUCCACUUACACUAAACAAUAAUGUAACAAAUGUAGUCUUAUUAUAACAAAAUAAAACUUUCAACAACGGAUCUCUUGGCUCUCGCAUCGAUGAAGAACGCAGCGAAAUGCGAUAAGUAAUGUGAAUUGCAGAAUUCAGUGAAUCAUCGAAUCUUUGAACGCACCUUGCGCUCCUUGGUAUUCCGAGGAGCAUGCCUGUUUGAGUGUCAUGAAAACCCUCAACCUUAGAUUGGUUAUUUGACCUUUCUUUGGCUUGGAUUUGGACGUUUGCCGAUGUCAAGUCGGCUCGUCUUAAAAGUAAUAGCUGGAUCUGUCUCGCGACAUGGUUUGACUUGGCGUAAUAAGUAUUUCGCUAAGGACAUCUUCGGAUGGCCCUGUUGCAGGACUAAAGACCGCUUUCUAAUCCAUUGAUCUUCGGAUUAAUAUUCAUAACAUCUGGCCUCAAAUCAGGUAGGACUACCCGCUGAACUUAAGCAUAUCAAUAAGCGGAGGAA
rnacentral:rRNA from 1 species